ensembl:lncRNA
GCAGGAAAUGCAGGUUCGAUCCCUCAGUUGGGAAGAUCCCCUGGAGAAGGGAAUGCACUCCACUCCAGUAUUCUUGCCAGGAGAAUCCCAUGGACAGAGGAGCCUGGUGGGCUACAGUUCAUGGCAUUGCAAAGGAGUCGGACACAACUUAGCCACUAAACAACAAUAAAACAGCAAAAUAUGUAGUGUUAAAAUCUUUUUUAUAUCCAUUGGGAAAAACAAAAAAAUGCCUAUGACUCAUUAUUUUGGAAUUUUCCUUACUACAGUGUCCUGGAGCCAAACUUGCAGUGUCUUCAAGGUCUGCCUGUGUACAGUAAGAAGUGUUUGGACAUUCACCACUAUCAAGAGCACAGGCCUUACUUCUCAGGAACGAACCCAGUGGUGUCCAGCUGCAUGCCUGAGAUGGGAUAAGAAUCCAGUGUCUCCACAUACUGUGUGACCUCUAGAGUCUCCAUUCUCACCCCUAAAGCAGUUUCUCUGUAGAAGGCCUCUUGGAGUCUCAUCACUCAUCACACACGUCAGCAGCCCAGCCCUUGGCUCAGGUCUUGCAGAGAGCCCUGCACAGACCUCUCACACUGUAAGGAGCAGGACCCCAAGGGGCGCUGGGGUGGGGACAGGCCUUCCCCCAUAUCCUCUGCUUUAGCUCCUCUCUGAAGUAUCUAGAUAAUAGCAUUUGAUGCACAUUUCUUGAGUUUGGCAGAUGUAAAAAAUCCCUUCCUCUUCGACGAGAAAAUGUUGACUACUUGUUGACCAUGAACAUCUGGCCCCACGCUUCCUGGAGCCUCAGGACUGAUGGGCGGAACCCCUGUGACACCCCCUGCUCCCUCGUCAGCCGAUCAGAGGACUGUGCACAAGGUGAUCACACACCCUGCGACCCCCCCAAGCCUGACCCUGCAUCCCUCACCUGGUUAUUAAAAGUGC